UUUCAUAUUAGUUCCUAUGCUUUGAACAUAGAGCCAAGCGGUGAGAGUGGCCAGCACCAAAAUAUUUUCUCGGCUUUGCAAUGGCUUGUUGAAGGUGACGCAUAUCAUUACGGGUGGAGGAAGCCACAGUAUUGCUUCAGGUAAAGCUCUGUCGGAGAUGUAGAAAGCAAUACGAAAUUUUCGAUUGUAUGCCAAUGGCGAGUGACGAAGCUGAUGUUAUAGCAGAAGAGACGAUGAGCAGCAGACCCAGGCCGCGUUCCAGUUGUGAGUAAAUUCCAAAAGUAUGAUCACCUGGCCGAGAAGGAUCCACAAAAUGAUGAGAGGCCUUUAGAGGGAUGAAAAGAAAGAGACCAACCAAAGAGAGACAUUCCAUGGAGGAACUAAUCAUAAGCAUCAACGAGACCAUUUGGCAAGAAGAACAUAAAGUAUGGGGUUCACAAUCCAGCCACCGUGAUGCCACGAAUCGCGUUGAUCGCUCUAGAAUUCUCGACAAAACAAUCACUCUCCAGAACCGGGUGUGGACAGCGUCAAGACGCAAGUCUCGCAGAGGCCAGCAAGAUAUAACCUUUUUAAAUUUCUACAAAAGCUCUUAGAACGAGCUCUCCCAGCUCGUUUCAUUCUAUUUUUUCCUAUCAUCCUGAAUUUUUAUCAACGGGAUAAGUCGCCACGAUCACGAGCAUACUGAAAACAUUUGGGGCCCCGCAGAUAAUCCUCGAUUCCUUGAGUGGCAAGGUCUCGUUCAAGGAGUAUGGCAAUCAAAGAUUUUUCGAGGCCCCGAGCAAGGACGAGCUCGAAUCGAUGAAGGCCGCAAGGAAGCCUUGCACCUGGAUGGAGAAAACAAAAGACAUUUUUUCUUUGGUUAGAGGCAGACCGUGUAAACAGUAUAUGAAUCACAAACAUGGUGACAAGUGACAACUUUCUCUCAAAAAGCUUGAUGAGUCUCUUUUAGCUGAUUCUCAUCAAAUAUCUGGCAGUUCCAACCCUCGCAUCUUCGUUCUCGAAGUUUUCACUCCAAAUUCCAAAAAAUUAUUUCUCUGGUGUUCACGGGGAAUUUUACUGUACAGCUCAAGCUCCUGAGCUUCCAAGUUUGUUCUAAUGAGCUUCUCGAAGAC
rnacentral:lncRNA from 1 species